AUUGAACGCUGGCGGCAUGCUUUACACAUUUAAUUCGAACGGCAGCGCGGGCUUCGGCCUGGCGGCGCGUGGCGAACGGGUGAGUAAUGCAUCGGAACGUGCCCAGUAGUGGGGGAUAGCCCGGCGACAGCCGGAUUAAUACCGCAUACGACCUGCGGGUGCAAGCGGGGGACCGAAAGGCCUCGCGCUCUUGGAGCGUCCGAUGUCGGCUUAGCUAGUUGGUGGGGUAAAGGCUUACCAAGGCGACGAUCCGUAGCUGGUCUGAGAGGACGACCAGCCACACUGGGACUGAGACACGGCCCAGACGCCUACGGGAGGCAGCAGUGGGGAAUUUUGGACAAUGGGGGCAACCCUGAUCCAGCCAUGCCGCGUGCGGGAAGAAGGCCUUCGGGUUGUAAACCGCUUUUGUUCGGGAAGAAAUCCUCUGGGCUAAUACCCCGGGGGGAUGACGGUACCGGAAGAAUAAGCACCGGCUAACUACGUG
rnacentral:rRNA from 1 species